rnacentral:rRNA from 1 species
CACGUAGGCACCAAGCGUUGUCCGGAUUUAUUGGGCGUAAAGAGCUCGUAGGCGGUUCAGUAAGUCGGGUGUGAAAACUUUGGGCUUAACCCAAAGCGUGCAUCCGAUACUGCUGUGACUUGAGUUCGGUAGGGGAGUGGGGAAUUCCUAGUGUAGCGGUGAAAUGCGCAGAUAUUAGGAGGAACACCGGUGGCGAAGGCGCCACUCUGGGCCGAAACUGACGCUGAGGAGCGAAAGCAUGGGGAGCAAACAGG